rnacentral:rRNA from 1 species
AUGAACGCUGGCGGCGUGCCUAAUACAUGCCAGUCGAGCGAACAGAUGAGGAGCUUGCUCCUCUGACGUUAGCGGCGGACGGGUGAGUAACACGUGGAUAACCUACCUAUAAGACUGGGAUAACUUCGGGAAACCGGAGCUAAUACCGGAUAAUAUAUUGAACCGCCUGGUUCAAUAGUGAAAGACGGUUUUGCUGUUACUUAUAGAUGGAUCCGCGCCGCAUUAGCUAGUUGGUAAGGUAACGGCUUACCAAGGCGACGAUGCGUAGCCGACCUGAGAGGGUGAUCGGCCACACUGGAACUGAGACACGGUCCAGACUCCUACGGGAGGCAGCAGUAGGGAAUCUUCCGCAAUGGGCGAAAGCCUGACGGAGCAACGCCGCGUGAGUGAUGAAGGUCUUCGGAUCGUAAAACUCUGUUAUUAGGGAAGAACAAAUGUGUAAGUAACUAUGCACGUCUUGACGGUACCUAAUCAGAAAGCCACGGCUAACUACGUG